UUCUAAUAGAAUUAAUUAUUAGUAAAAUCUGCUCCAUGUUAAUAAAUAGCCGCAGUUCACUCUGUGCUAAGGUAGCAUAAUCAUUUGCCUUUUAAUUAAAGACUAGAAUGAAGGAUUCCACAUUUCAAUUAUUUUCUCAAAUUUAUACCUUAAAUUUAUCUUAAAUAUAAAAAGAUAUUUAUUAAAAAAAAAGACGACAAGACCCUAUUGAACUUUACUAUAGUUUAACUGGGGCAGUUAAUUAAUUAAAAUUUUAAUAUCUCAAAUACAAAAAAUUAUCCAAUAAAAUUGAAGUUUAAUCAAGUUACCAUAGGGAUAACAGCGUAAUAAAUUUCAAAAGAUCUUAUUCAAAAAUUUGCUUACGACCUCGAUGUUGAAUAUUCCCCUAAUAGAUGCAACGAUCUAAAAAGAAGGUCUGUUCGACCUUUAAAAGAUUACA
rnacentral:rRNA from 1 species